UCUCUCCUACGGGGGGCAGCAGUGGGGAAUAUUGCACAAUGGGGGGAACCCUGAUGCAGCAAUGCCGCGUGAAGGAUGAAGGCUUUCGGAUUGUAAACUUCUUUUGUACGGGACGAAGAAAGUGACGGUACCGUAAGAAUAAGCCACGGCUAACUACGUGCCAGCAGCCGCGGUAAUACGUAGGGGGCAAGCGUUAUCCGGAUUUACUGGGUGUAAAGGGCGUGUAGGCGGGAUUGCAAGUCAGAUGUGAAAACUAUGGGCUCAACCGACAGCGUGCAUUUGAAACUGCAGUUCUUGA
rnacentral:rRNA from 1 species